UACGAAGGGUGCUAGCGUUGUUCGGAAUCAUUGGGCGUAAAGCGCACGUAGGCGGUUAGGUAAGUCGGAUGUGAAAGCCCGGGGCUCAACCCCGGAAGUGCAUCCGAAACUGCCUGACUUGAGUCCCGGAGAGGGUGGUGGAAUUCCUGGUGUAGAGGUGAAAUUCGUAGAUAUCAGGAGGAACACCGGUGGCGAAGGCGACCGCCUGGACGGAGACUGACGCUGAGGUGCGAAAGCGUGGGUAGCAAACAGG
rnacentral:rRNA from 1 species